rnacentral:rRNA from 1 species
CCUACGGGUGGCAGCAGUGAGGAAUAUUGGUCAAUGGACGAGAGUCUGAACCAGCCAAGUAGCGUGAAGGCUGACUGCCCUAUGGGUUGUAAACUUCUUUUAUAUGGGAAUAAAAUGUUCCACGUGUGGGAUUUUGUAUGUACCAUAUGAAUAAGGAUCGGCUAACUCCGUGCCAGCAGCCGCGGUAAUACGGAGGAUCCGAGCGUUAUCCGGAUUUAUUGGGUUUAAAGGGAGCGUAGGUGGAUUGUUAAGUCAGUUGUGAAAGUUUGCGGCUCAACCGUAAAAUUGCAGUUGAAACUGGCAGUCUUGAGUACAGUAGAGGUGGGCGGAAUGCGUGGUGUAGCGGUGAAAUGCUUAGAUAUCACGAAGAACUCCGAUUGCGAAGGCAGUUCACUGGACUGCAACUGACACUGAGGCUCGAAAGUGUGGGUAUCAAACAGGAUUAGAUACCCGGGUAGUC